ensembl:snoRNA
AACCAGUGAUGCACUGAUUUUGCCAAAUGAAGUAGGAGGAUAUCACUUAUUAAAUUGUCCCAUUCUCCUCUUAGGCU